GUCGGAUAGGGAUAACCAUCGGGUUUGGAAUUGAGUGGCUCACAUCAAGAUCGAAAAAAGCGAAAGAAGAGAGAAGAAAGAAAAGAGGGAUAGAAGAGGGGAAGAUCUCGGUGAGUAGACAGUGUGGAAGGAGAUCAAGAUCAGAAAAAGGAGAGGAAGAGAAAAGAAAGUCGUGAUAGGCAUAACCGUCGGGUUUGGAACUGAGUCGCUCACAUCAAAAAAAGAUCUCGGCGACAAUAGACCGGCUGGAAGUCUGUAUAAAACGUCAAGCAUUGAGACACAAAAGAGAAGAUGGCAAAUCAGUUUGCGUUCCUUUUGGAGAAGGAGUUUUGGUUGGAGUUUAAACUUUUUGGUGGUCAACUGGUCAUAGAGUGCUGAUCAACAUGGUUAAGCCUUUUGACAAAGGAUGAUAUGUGCGAUUGUUUUGGUUGCCUGUUUCUCACGAGAAAACUAUGUCACAAGAUCUGGAGUUGGAAUUGCUUUUUGCAAUCAUGUCUCUAUGAACCUUUCAUGGCAAUGCUUAUGUGGAAGCUGAAAGUAUUGAGAAUGGUAUUAGUGUUCUGAACAAAGGUACGCCUAUAAAGUUAUGACUGUGCAGGUUGGUAAUUUAUAUCUGAUGGUAAAGGCUAAGAAGCAGGUUCGUAUUGAAAGAUAUUGUUAUUAGUCGAUGUAUACACACACAAAUACGACUUAUAUCAUUAGUGAGAGCUCAGUCAUAAUAUACCAACUUUGACAUCAAAAUCAGAUAGUUGAUAUUUAAAUUUUAAAAGCUAUAUAUAUAUAUUAAGUUAAUGUCAUUAGCUGCAUUUGUUGAAGUUUUUAUUUUUAUGGUCAAGCAUGAGAAAGAAAUCAUGAAGUCAUAUAUACAUAUGAAGCUGAUGAUAAGAUUCCGCCCAUUUCCAUGAAAACGGAUAGCCAAUACAAAUAUACAAUGCAGCAAUGAAAACCUAGAUGCCAACUGAUUUAGUGUUACUGUUACCUUUAGAAUCUCGCGAGAGGAACUAAAUUCCAGAAUAGACAUAAAAACUAGGGUUAUUAUCACAAAUGGUACCUGAACUUAUCCUCUAUUUUAUCGAUGAUACCUGAACUUCAAUUUUGAUCACAACCAGUACCCGAACUUUUCGACUUCAUUUUAAAUGGUACCUAAGGCCACCUUUGGUCACUAUUCCGGCCAAAAAAGCCAAAUCUAAAAAAAAAAAAAAAAAAAAAAUCAAGUUCAAGGCAAGUCUAUUAUCAAAAAAUUAUCACUAUAUAUGAUCGCAACCCUUGAAAUCAUCAAAAAUCAUCACUAUGAUCGCCUUACAUGCCGUUUUUAGUUGGAAUAUUGACCGGAGGUGACUCUAGGUACCAUUUAAAAUGAAAUCGAAAAGUUCGGGUACUGGUUGUGAUCAAAAUUGAAGUUCAGGUUCCAUCGAUAAGAUUGAGGUAUAGUUCAGGUACCAUUUGUGAUAAUAACCCUAAAAACUAUAAAACGGCAAUUAAUUGAGUGGUAAUGUUGUCAGUACACUCUUAGAUAAGGUUGUAUGCUAUUGGAUUCUUUUAUGCAAAAGUUCUUUGCAAUUAGUAUGUUUUUUUAAAGAUGAAUGAAUCGAUGAAAGAGAGUAGUCUUGAGUAGCUAAAUUUUAGAUUGUUUAAGGAGCCAGAGGAAAAGGCUUUUUAGUAUGUUUAAGUCAUAUCGAACAAAUACCAAUUAUUUGAGUAAUGAAACAGAUGAACUUCAUAAAACACAUAGGCAAAGGGUGAUGGCCAAAUAGGAAGAGGGUCAGUCUUCUCACAAGAAUCCUGUAUCUGUUCAGUUGAGUAUCCAAUUACUUGCUAUUUUAAUCAGAAUUUUAAGAAUUUACACAUUAUAUUGAUAAAGACGAGGUUGGAGUUUACCUGGAAUGAAUGAAAUUUAGCUGAAUUUGCAGGUACUAAAAGCUUUGAAAAUGACGGAGAAUCAAGGCCAUGAGUUUUUGAAAUCCUAGAACAGGGACUUGAACCAGCAAAUUUUUUAGGAACUAGAUGAAAUUUGAUUGGUUUUUAAUUUUUAUUUUUCUCUCUCUCUCCUCUUAUUGCUCUCUGGUGGCUAGAAAUUUGAUUUGUGAAGUCUAAAAUGAACGUAAGUUCCCAUUGUUUACAAUCAGCAACAAGACAUAACUAAUGUAUGUUACAUUUGAGAAAGCUUAAGGAGGAAAGCUGUGAAUUACAUAAGCAUUAAUAACCUAAAGUAUAGUACAUUUAGACUUGAUUAUUGAAAUUAGCUCUGCAAUUUCAAUAAUCAAGUCUGAAUGUAAACAUUAAUAACCUAAAGUAUAUUCAUUGGCAUUAGAGUCUAUGGUAACUAUUCAUUGUUGUGAUGGGUCUAAUUUGAGCUUCUGAUUUAAGCAUGAAUUUGCUUUUUGUUACAGGAAGGUCGCUGCAUGCAUGUCAUUGAAAGAAACUUGAGUGGAGUCAGACAUAAUUGUUGGGCAGUUGUUGUAACCUGGGGGGUUACCCCAAAUUGAUUUAGUUAGGUCUUGAGGAUUACAAUUAUUUUAUGUAUGAAGCGUGAGAGAUUCCAAAGCGUCUUAUCAGAGGACUGAUUAACUCAUUAUAAUCUUUAGUUUGCUCCAUUAUUGUCAUUGCAAGGAAUGCCCUGAGAAAUGUAAGGAAGCUGUUGCAUUACUAAUGGUUGCUGCAGCUAGAUUUUCUGAUUUACCAGAAUACGUUGGCUGACAUUAGGCAACUAUUUCAAGAGAGAUAUGCUAACUCUCUGGCUUAUUGUGUGGAUCAAAGUUUUUCAUGUGCUCUACUGCAUCACAACCUCAGAUUUGAGAAGGCACAAGAUUCAGGAAGGUUUAGGUAUGCAAGGGAUACAUCAUUCAGAAAGAGUCAUUUGAACUUCUGGAGCCAGUCAUCAGUUUUCCUUUGCAUUGUGUGCUUCUUCAGACAGUUUUUCGGGCAGUUACUAUGAGUACCUGACUCUGAGGCAUGGUUUUAUCUCGGCACAUUUAGCACCUGAGAUCAUUUAUUCUCAUGCUAAUGGGUGAGAGGAGGAUUUGGCAAAGGACUGGAAACUGCACUCGAAGCAUCUUUGUUGUACCUUACGAUUUUCUGAGGAGGUGAAACUAGUCACCCGAGACCAUAGAAAGGCAUAGAUGGACGGGGAGAUAUGAAGCUCAUUUAUGGAACAAAGGAUCUUGGAAUCCAAGACAAAGCAAGAAGGGAAAACAGGGCUUAUGACGAAGAAGAAUCCACAGCAAAAGUAUGAGUUGGCAGCACUCAAGUAGCGGGGAACAUCAACUUCUACAAAUUGAUCUGUUGAACGCUAACAAAAAGAAGAGUACUUGCCUCUCUAAGAAGCUAUUUAUUCAUCUUCAAAUUAAUAAGCAGUUAAGCAGCCUACCUUAACUGUUGUAAAAAUUUCAAGAGAUGAAUUUGAUCUAUCUAUUUACUAAUUAUUUGAUAGCUUUUUGUUCAAACAUGUUAAAUAUCAAUGUCAUACAAAAUUGCUCUCUAUAAAUGAGUGGAUGUAAAAUGACACGUCUUCAAUUUUUCAUUUCUGUUUGAUUAAGUAUUUACUAGCAAUAUAUAGCUCUCCAUGUAUCCUUUUAAAUUUUAAGGCAGUUGCAAUUUCAAAGGAAUUGG
rnacentral:lncRNA from 1 species